rnacentral:lncRNA from 1 species
GGUCUCCAGACUGUUGGGGUGAUAGGAACACUGCAGGCUCAGAGAACAGCAGGCCCAUGAUCAUGGCAGUUAGAACAGAAAGGGUUCUGGAAGGUAACUGGGAACUUUGAAAGACGUGAGAAUUAAAAUAGUUUUAGUAGAGCCCGUGAUGUUUUCGGUAGCCUAAAUUAAAUAAAACUUAAAAGUAAUCAUCCUGACUGUAAAUUCUUUGUUUCCUUUAUUCCCCACAAAACCCCCUCCGAAAAAAACACUGGGAUUCCUUUUGGCUCUCCGAAAAUUGUGUUUCUGAUGCAACCGCCCAUUAAAAAAACGCAAUCCCAAAUUAAAAAAAAAAAAAAAAACAAAACCCAAACGUAGCAGCGGGGCUGGCGCCACCAUCCCAAGGCAACUCCGCCGUUUCCCAGCCACACCCCUGCGAUCUGCAGGGCCUCCUUCCCCGGGCUGUACCCAAAGAUAAAUAAAUCACUCCUUGUUUUUUUCCAGACCUGAAAUUAGCAGUGACUCACAGAGCACUUUGAACGGCCACAGUCGCCUCGGGAAGGAGGAAAAAUGUGCAGAUUUUUCCCCUCUCCCGAGGACCCGACGUUCCGGGCUGGGCCAAUCAGGGGAGGAUAGCGGGAAUCGCACCAAAUUGAAGGAGGGCCUCACCUCCGCCCCCACGGACACGAGAUGAUGAGGGGUACCUAGUCCUUCAGUCUCCAGAAGGUGAAGAAGAUCCCGCCGGCCAGGCGUCUGAAGGGCCGCCUGGGCAGAGCGUUGCUAGGCCGGCCGGUUGCGUAGCAACGGUGGGCAGCGUGUGACGUGCGCAGCCGCGUUAGGGCCCGAGGCGCGCCCGCGCUCCCGCCCCCUGGUAGGCUCACGCCCCGCGUCGCCUCGCGGCUCGAUACCUCGGACCAGCUGCUGUGAGGUGAACACUCGGUAGACUCGGCUCCGGCCGGCUCGGUCUCCCGCGCUU